rnacentral:lncRNA from 10 species
GGACGGGGCCGGGCGCGCGCGCGGGCGCGCCUGGGUGUGGGUGCCGCCGAGGGCGGGGCGGCGGUGGCGGCAGGUCCCGGAGCGGGGCGCGCACCGCGGGGCACAGGCGGCUGGGGGCCUUGUGACGCCACAGGCCACGGAGGGGGAGCCGCCCGGGAAAGUGGGUGCGGCCGAGUUCGCGCAGGGGCGGGGCCGGGCGCCGGGAGCUGGGCGGUGUCCCCGGGGGGCUCUGGGUUCCUGGAGGGCCUCUCCGGGACUCGAGGAAAACGACCUUUUCCCUUGCAGCGGCGGGAGAGGGCGAAGUGGAGGACUGCUGCUCGGUUCCGUAUCCAAAAGAGACCCAAGGCUCCAGGCAAAAUAGAUUGGACAUUUUCACUUUCUCAAGCCAGGGCCACCGGUCGCCCAACCAGCAGCCACUGAGGGUGGUAUCGGGGCGCCCCUUCCCCUGGCAGCGUAUUUCAGCCCCCAGAGACAUCCCCCACCUCGGCCAUCCCCAGCGCCUUUGCAGGGACAGCAGCACAACCAUAGCAGAGGUCCUGGGCAUCCUGGAAAUAACGUGCUGGUAUAAAUGUUGGAUUGAGAAAGGAAGAAAAAACAUUUGGGGUCAAUUUGGGGCCCUCUCGUUUGACACGGGAGGAAACACAAGGCCGCAGCGUUGGGGGAAGCUGCUUCCUUUCUCUCUCUUCUUUCUCUCUGUCUCAGGUGCUUCCUUUCUCUUCUCUGUCUCUCUCUCUCUCUCUGCCUCUCCCUCUCUCUCCCCCGUCUCUCCCCCUAUCUUCCCCUCUCUCCUCCUAUCUCCCCCUCUCUCCCCCUCCUUGUGGCUAGGUGAUCUGGCUCAGAAGUGCACGUUGGCCCGCGCGUGCGGGGAGCUGAGAAGCAAGAGAUUGGAACUUUGCACGUGUCAAGCAAGGUUUGGCCUGCUUUGAAGACAGUAAUUUCAGAGCCACUCCGGUCUCUGCGUCACAAGCGGGCAUCAGGGCAGUGGUGGGGCGGCAGGGGAUCCUGAGACCUCCCAUGCCCUCUCUUUGGCCCCGGUGCUUCUGGGUGAGUGUGGGGAGAGAGGAAAAUAGUUGUUUAUGCUUUUCACCAUUUGCAUUUUUAAAUUUUUGUCUUCUUUAAUCUUCCUGGUCUUACUUUUACUCUAGAAUGACAGGUCCUUCCCCCCCAUACUAAGGGUUCUGUCUGCGGAUGCAUCAGGGCAUCUCAUAUCCCUUUACUGGCAACCAGCCUGCCUGCACAGGAUGGAAGGGAGGGCAAUUAAAUUCCCUGCGUCAAGGGAGUCUCUAGGGGAAUGUUCUGUAACGCUCCUCUGGGUGGCCAUUGUAAACCUCUGUGUAUACACACGUGGAAUCCAUUGAUCUGUACAUUCACUGCAGGUGUCUGCACUUUACUGCUUGUAUGUUGUACUUCAAAGGAGUUAUAUUCCCAGAGCCCAGGCAAAGGCUUACUGAGCACCUACCGAGUACACAAAGCAUUGCUAAGCUCUGUGGAUGCAGCUUCCACCCACAGGAAGCUCCCAGUCUGAUGAGGGCCCAGUUACAAUUGUGAUAUCUGCCACAGCGAAGAAGCCUUCGCUAAGUGCUAAGAGAUUCCUUACUUAAACUGUGCAUCCAAAAUUAGGGGAGGAGUGGAGGGAUCAGGUUUCAAGAGCGUUUUGUAAUAAAUGGCCUCUGCCCUAAAUUGUAGGGCCCCCAUUAGUGUGGGGAUUGGGGACAGGGGCAAUAACUGCUGUUGGGAAUUCAACAGGAGAGGAGGCAUGGGGUUGCAGGUGGAGACGCACAGUUCCUUAAGUAACUCACCAAAGGGAAUAGUGGACAUUGAAUGGUCUCUAGUAACAGGAGGCUUGGUUUUUAACUAAAGGUGAUACAGAACAUCUGGCAUUUCCGACUCCCCUUCUUAGGAGUAUCCUGACAACCCGAUGGAAAGUGGCCUGGGUGUCAAGGAAAAAGCAACGUGGAAACAAUUCAGGUUUCUUCCAUAUAAGAGAGACAAUCUUUUCCCAGGUGUGGGUCCUCCCUCUUGGCAGUAGCGGAGAAGUUUUUGAAAGAUAAAUGAUGCUUUUAUUGUGUCAUUUGGCCUUUGUUUGGCGCUUGAUACAGCCCAGGGUUUGCUAUUCUAAAAUCUGUCACUAGACAGAUGUGUGCUGCAGCCAGUGUGGAGAACAUGGGGCAGGAGAGAGGAAGAACCAGGUGUCCCCGUUCCCCAGACCAGUGCUGAUGUGCUACCAGAAAUGGGUUUGCAAGAUUAAUCACCUUCCUCCUGCUUCCCUUGAAUUCUAAUUAUUGUUGUCAGGAUCUGUUGAAGUAGUAAAAGCUGCUGGCAACCAAGACACAUAAAAGCUAAGCUCCAGUUGCUGUGUGUGGUUUCCAACACUUAUUUAUUAUCUCUGUUUAAUAAUAAACCUCCUUCCCCACAGCUAUGUGUUGUAAAGUCUAUCCUUUCUCUCUCUCUCAAAAUUACUAUGGAGAAAAUGCUAUGCAACCUGUUUUGCAUAAAAGGCUGGGCUAAUUAACCUUUCCUUUUCACCUCCGACCUCUAAUACUUACAAACUGUAUGACAGAAGUAGACACUGGCAUAGACAUACAAAUGGUGCUGCUGGGUGGGAUUUUGUUGUUGUUUUGUUGUUUGUCUAAUGAUCUUUGUGAUGCUUGAGUAAUUUAUUCAGGGCUAAGAUUACAGAAACAUAAUGCUAACAAUGGUUGAAAUCAACCUUGUCCCCUAGUUUUAAGAACACGCCACAUUCUUGAACUCCUGCAAGUAAUCUUACUAAGAUUCUCUUCUGAAAUUUUAUUGCUAUAUAUUAGGAACAGAGUGAUUAACACUAGUGAGCUAGAUGAUUUGACAAUAUAUAUCUGAGAAAAGGAAACUGGAAACGUGUCUGAGAAAAAAAAAAGUUCUAGCUACUGAAUGAGAGUUUAGAAAAUGAGACAGCUCCAGUAAAGAAAGUCCAAAUGCACAUAAGAACUCUCUAACAGAGGCCACUCACUUUUCUCAUCUAAGAGUAUGUGGAAAGCUUGUAAUAGGAGAGGAAAAAUUAUGAAUAAUUAAUUCCCACUAUAGGAAGUCUCCUAGGGCAAAAUCAAGCUAAGACUUAGAAUGAUGGGGAAAAGCCCCCUAGUCAUAAUAUUUUGGGGAAAUUUCUUUUCUCUACAAUAUUAUAUAUUAGAAUCUUACAGUAGCUCCAUGAUUCCUUAAACAAAAGGAGGCUCGUUGAUAUGGUUUGGCUCUGUGUCCCCACCCACAUCUCACCUUGAAUUGUAAUAAUCCCCACGUGUCAAGGGUGGGACCAGGUGUAGGUAAUUGAAUCAUGGGUGCGGUUUCCCCCAUGCUGUUCUCGUGAUAUUGAGUGCUUGCAAGAUCUGAUGGCUUUAUAAGGGGGCUUCUCCCUUCACUCAGCACUCAUUCUCUCUCCUGCCACCCUGUGAAGAGAUGCCUUCCGCCGUGAUUGUAAGUUUCCUGAGACCUUCCCAGCCAUGCGGAACUGUGAGUCAAUUAAACCUCUUUUCUUUAUAAAUUACCCACUCUCAAGUGUUUCCUCAUAGCAGCAUGAGAAUGAACUAAUACACUUGUGUAUAUGUUGUAUCGUUUAUUAGCCUGCAGAUAGAAUUUUUUUUGUGUUGGUACUUUUAUUAAACUAAUUCUACCCUCCUCCCCUUGCUAUAUCCUCUGCUCCUUAUUCCUAAGUUUCCAUAAUUUUCUUCUCACUAAGAAAACCUGGAUAGUUCACUCUAAGCACAGAUAAAUAAGAGUAUCAUACAGCAUCAGCAGGCACAGAGCAAUUGGAAAGGAAGGAAGAUCAUCUCCCGGGUCUCUAACCUGGCUUCCAAGGCCCAGCCCAGUGCCUGGCUCACAGAAGGAAUUCACUAUUUCUACUUAUGUUGAAUGUCUGUUGUGCAUAUACAGACGGAAAUAUUCAAACUAGCAUAGUCUGUGUUUGACAAGCAUUCCAUAAGGGAUGUGCUUACCAGAAAGAUGGUGGCCAAGAUGUUGGCCACCCAGAUAUCAGUUGGGGUAUUGCUCCCUAAUACCUAAAAGAAGUUUUUUUUUUAAGGCUUCAAAAUGGUUAACUGAAAAGAACGGAGGUCACAUGACAACAUGAGUAUAUCCCCCAAGGAAGCCUACCUGUCUAUCCCCAGGAAUCUGAACCAGCAGACAAAGCACUGUCGGGUCCUUGCUGCAACCUCUUCCCCCCACCCCCUUUGAUGGUCCUGGUUCUGCAUCAUUGUACUUGCGUAUCAUUCACUCAUUAUUUCAUUGCUUCAUUCACUAGUCAUCAGCCAUUCCUGAAAGACUGACUGUGGGCUUCUGGUAAGAUGAACAGGACUGCUUAUUUCUCUCAUGGUGCUUAGAGUAUAGACAAUGGAUAAAGACCCUGAAGAAGGCGCUGGGCAAAGGGAAUGGGGAAGCAUGGUGUGCACAGUCUGGAAGCAGGAGAGGAGCCAGCCUGGCCCUGGUUGGAAACCUGGAGGAGAUCUAAGCUGGAGGAUGGGGUGGGAGGAGCAGGAGGCUACUCACAGUGGGGCUCCUCCUGUAUGAUGCUAGAAGCUUCUGCUUUGUCCUGAGAGCAACAGGGAGCCAUGGGUGGGCUUGCAGCAGGACACAGAGGGGCUAGCCUGUGUUUUAGAAAGGUAUCUCCAGACCAUGGAGGAUAUAAAGCCUGGCAGAGGGAAGGCACUCUCAGAGACUUUUCCCUUGUCAUUCUCUAGAAUGAGGGAGGAGAAGGAGCCAGUCUGGAAGGGAGGCUGACAAGUUUCAUUUUUAAAAAUUGAUCUGCACUUGGAUAUCUCUGGAGAUGCCAGUAAGGUUGUUGGGUACAGAGGUCUGCAGCUCAGAGACCAGCAGGCAUCCUGAACAAGACAGAUCCAGGCAGACGGAAUGGCCUGUAGGAGAACUUGGCAGAGGGCACAACCAAGAAGAGUUCAAAGGCGCUGGCCAGUUCCAUGCGACUGCAUGGGGUCAUGGGAGAAGAGAUACACUUAAACCAGGGUCCCACAGGCUCAAUGGGUCUCCUUCCAAAAUCAGCUUCCAAUGAGCCCUCAGAUUCUCCAAAUACUGGGCAGCUGGAUUUCCCAGACACCUUCUGCAAUCUGCUGACAUCUAAUAUACCUGUAGACUGUUCUCCUGCUGACAAGGUUGUUCUUGCUCUUAUCCUAUAAAGAAGAGAGGUGGCAGAGAGUUGGAGGGGAGGGCCUCCUUCCCUGGCAUGUCCAUCCGAGGGUCUCCAAGAACAUCCUGGCUGUGGCCCACACCUUUCUGUGUGGUUAGGAGGAGUAUCGGAUGCCUUCUCUUUCCAACCUUGGCUUGUAAGUUUCCCCCAAUAAAGUCUGUUCCUUCACCCAUACCAUGACGGCUGUUUGAUUCCUCACAGCUUCUUUUGGGGAGGAUGGGGGAAAAUCACAGAGACUCUUUGUACAAGAGGUGGCAUUUGCAACAGCUCUGUGAACUACAGUAACCCAAAGUCCCCCAAACAAGAAAUAUUGGAGCAGUUUUGAUUCUGAUCUCUCCUUCAUUCUCUCAUCUGCAGUAACCAGCUGUAUAUCAAGUUUGCCCAAGACAGUGCUGGUUGAUGCCCACCUUCUAGCAUGGUUAUUAAUAG